AUAAAUGUGUUUAAUGUUCCUUUCAUCUUUGGGGUGAAGUGAAAUAAAUGGCCAUAUAGAUUCUAUAUAGUAUUACUGUUUCACAUUUUAACUAAUUAGCAAAAUAUUUGAGGGAAAUGAAGAUCAUUGCUAUGAAUGCAAAGAGUACUAUACUUGGAAUAAUUUAUAGCCAUUACUCAUUUCUCUCUUCUAUACUAUCUCCCCUACCUGACACACACAUACACACCUCAUAAAACAAUAAUUAAUGCCAAAAGGAACUCUUCUGAACACUUUAUAGGAUAAUUUAAUAAGGAUUGAAUAAUGUCUUUUCAGUCUUUUCACAGACUUGAAAAAUAGCCUCAGACACACAAUCUUCAAGUCCAAAACAUAUUGAUACACAUAAAAACAGUAGCAAUCAUUUAGGAAAUUAGAAUCCUUCAUGCUAAAAAAUGUGAAUUCAUUUCAAUUCCAAGGUAAGUGAAUAACUAUGAAUUUUGAGUUUUGAUACCAAGAAAAUGUUAAAAAGAGUGAUAGUUUUAGCAAGUUACAUGUCCCCAAUGAAAGGUGAAAGCAAAAUAGAGCUAUACAUAUGUAUAUACAUAUAUGAUAUAUAUAGGUUCAUUUCUAAUCUAUGCUAAAUCAUAAGUCAUAUAACAAUAUAAGAAAUGUAUCCAAGACUACAUUCAUUUGGUGUUUGUCUUGUUUUUAGUACUACCUUCAACAUAUCUUAGGACUUUUUUCUCUUUCCUGUGAAAUUAUAUAUGUCUCUAAAAGAUGAAAAUAAAGUUUACCUUAAAAUUAAAUCUUAAAAAUUAUUUAAUUGGCUACUAAUCUUUCUAUUAUAUUGAAUAUAUUGUAUUAUAUUUCUCCAGUUAGCUACUAUUCUCAAGUUAUUAAUAACCCAUGGUAUUGUAAUCAUUCCAAUAAUAGUCUUUUUGGUGGCAACUAAAAUAUCAAACAUUCCUAGGAUGGUCUUUUUUGAUAAAAUUUUCUCAAUUUCUCAAUUUGUCUCUGUACAAGACACUAUUAAAUAAGAAAUACAUAGAUAUUUCAGGCAUAGUCCUUCUUCACUGAAGGUUUCAUUGUAAAAUAAAUUAAUUCAUUUAAUGUUAGAGGAUAUAUGGGGAAAUUGGAACACUAAUACAUUGUGAAGUGACAUAACCAUUCUGGAGAGCAAUUUGGAACCAUACCCAUAGGGAUAUAAAACUGUUCAUACUCUUUGAUCCAGAAAUACCACUAUUAAAUCUGUAUCCCAAAGAAAUUAAAUAAGGGGGGAAAGUAUUUGUAAAAAAAUUUAUAUCACUUCUGUAUAUGGUGUAAAGAAUUAGAAACUGGAUAAAUUGGAAAUGGAUAACCAUCCAUUGGGGAAUGGUUGAACAAGUUGAGGUAUCAAAUUAUGUUGAAUACUGUAUUAGAUGGUAUUUCUUUAAAAAAUUUGUGACACUGUAAGAUUGCUGGACAACCCUACAGACCAAUGGGAUAUUGAGGAUUCAGACUCUGCCUCCCUCCAGCUUCUGCCUCUCACUUUCAGUUAGGUUUCAAAUGGAGUCCAACUGAGAUUCGGUAAUGAGCAUAGCAGGGGAGCAAACAAUAUGAAGCAGAGAACCAGAGGCAAGGUGAAACAAACAAGUAAUCCUGGCAGUCUCUACUGGGGAAGACACACUCAAAAUCAUCAGAAUCUUAAUUAAUUGGUCAUGCAGAGGAAUAAAGAUCAAAGCAAAAAUGAACUGGACUGCAUUUAGUAAAGUAUGAGGUCCAGGAUAAAUCAUCUUGCAUGCUCCCAUGCCAGUCUAUACAAUAGAUCAAGAAAUGUUCCCAUAUUGGUAAAAUCUAAUUAAAAAAAAAAAACUCAUCAAGGGCUGCUAUGAACAGAGACCAAGAUCAUAAACAUUGGGAUACAUGGCAAAAGAAGGGAAGAAAUUCAAGAAGGAUUAGUUACUUAAUGUAUUUGGGCUUUAGUUUCAUUUGAAAAAUUAAGGGAUUGAACAAUUCAUCUCAAAGAUCUUGUUCAGCUCUAAUGUUCUAUGAUGCUGAUUCCAAGAUAUCCUUUCACCAGAGAAGAAUAAAGAAACUAGUCAAGAUAAUUCCUUUUGUUAACAUGGUUGAGUAGGAAGGUUUCUAACAAUAAAAAUGUUAAUAAUUA